rnacentral:rRNA from 1 species
GAUGAACGCUGGCGGCGUGCCUAAUACAUGCAAGUCGAGCGAACAGACGAGGAGCUUGCUCCUCUGACGUUAGCGGCGGACGGGUGAGUAACACGUGGAUAACCUACCUAUAAGACUGGGAUAACUUCGGGAAACCGGAGCUAAUACCGGAUAACAUGUUGAACCGCAUGGUUCAACAGUGAAAGACGGUCUUGCUGUCACUUAUAGAUGGAUCAGCGCCGCAUUAGUUAGUUGGUAAGGUAAAGGCUUACCAAGGCAACGAUGCGUAGCCGACCUGAAAGGGUGAUCGCCCACACUGGAACUGAGACACGGUCCAGACUCCUACGGGAGGCAGCAGUAGGGAAUCUUCCGCAAUGGGCGAAAGCCUGACGGAGCAACGCCGCGUGAGUGAAGAAGGUCUUCGGAUCGUAAAACUCUGUUAUUAGGGAAGAACAAAUGUGUAAGUAACUAUGCACGUCUUGACGGUACCUAAUCAGAAAGCCACGGCUAACUACGUG